GAUGAACGCUGGCGGCGUGCCUAAUACAUGCAAGUCGAGCGAACAGACGAGGAGCUUGCUCCUCUGACGUUAGCGGCGGACGGGUGAGUAACACGUGGAUAACCUACCUAUAAGACUGGGAUAACUUCGGGAAACCGGAGCUAAUACCGGAUAAUAUAUUGAACCGCAUGGUUCAAUAGUGAAAGACGGUUUUGCUGUCACUUAUAGAUGGAUCCGCGCCGCAUUAGCUAGUUGGUAAGGUAACGGCUUACCAAGGCAACGAUGCGUAGCCGACCUGAGAGGGUAACCGGCCACACUGAAACUGAGACACGGCCCAGACCCCUACGGAAGGAAGAAGAAGGAAAUCUUCCGCAAUGGGGGAAAGCUUACGGAGCAACGCCGCGUGAGUGAUGAAGGUCUUCGGAUCGUAAAACUCUGUUAUUAGGGAAGAACAAAUGUGUAAGUAACUAUGCACGUCUUGACGGUACCUAAUCAGAAAGCCACGGCUAACUACGUG
rnacentral:rRNA from 1 species